AUACUUACCUGGCAGGGGAGAUACCAUGAUCACGAAGGUGGUUCUCCGAGGGCGAGACUUGGCCAUUGCACUUUAGGCUUCGUUGACCCUUCCGAAUUCUCCAAAUGUGAGAAUCUCGACUGCAAAAUUUAUGGUAGUGGGGGACUGCGUUCGCGCUCUCCCCUG